rnacentral:tRNA from 1 species
GCGGAAAUAGCUCAGUUGGUAGAGCAUAACCUUGCCAAGGUUAGGUCGCGAGUUCGAGUCUCGUUUUCCGCU